GGAUGACCAUGCAAGAUGGUUCAGUUCUAGUUGACAUUCCACUAUAUGAAAAGACCAGAUCGCCACUUUAUAUUCUUAUUCCUUGAGAGAGAGAGAGAACCGGAACAGCGACCUCGUGAAUCAUCCUAUUUAAUCGCUUCACCCUCGCCACAUUCGCUACUACUUCAAUUAUUGGGGUAAAUGGACAUUAAGACUAAGUUAUGAGAUAUGAGAGUUAAAUUAAUAUUGUAGUCCUAUUUAACCCAAUUAUUUUACAACCCUUUA